CGGCAAUCUUGAACCCUUCAUGAAUCUUUGAGAAAAAACUUACCCUAAAGGACCUCCUUCUCUUGCAGAGUUUAAAGUAUUCAAGAGUGACACACACAACCGUCUGCCAGGCAACCACCAAGAUCACACUCAUCAAGGACUUUCCAGAAGUUAAAUAACACAUCUGAAAAAGAAAC